GAUGAACGCUAGCGGCAGGCCUAAUACAUGCAAGUCGAACGGUGGCAGCAAUGUCAUAGUGGCGCACGGGUGCGUAACACGUAACUAACCUACCUAUAACUGGGGGAUAGCCCGCCGAAAGGCGGAUUAAUACCGCAUAAGCUGCUUGGGUGGCAUCACUCGAAUAGUAAAGAUUUAUUGGUUAUAGAUGGGGUUGCGGGUCAUUAGCUAGUUGGUAAGGUAACGGCUUACCAAGGCGACGAUGACUAGGGGAGCUGAGAGGCUGGUCCCCCACACGGGCACUGAGAUACGGGCCCGACUCCUACGGGAGGCAGCAGUAGGGAAUAUUGGGCAAUGGGCGAGAGCCUGACCCAGCCAUGCCGCGUGCAGGAAGAAGGCUUUCUGAGUCGUAAACUGCUUUUGACAGGGAAGAAUAAGCACUACGUGUAGUGCGAUGACGGUACCUGCAGAAUAAGCACCGGCUAACUCCGUGCCAGCAGCCGCGGUAAUACGGAGGGUGCGAGCGUUGUCCGGAUUUAUUGGGUUUAAAGGGUGCGUAGGCGGCCCGUUAAGUCCGGGGUGAAAGCCCGCUGCUCAACAGCGGAACUGCCCUGGAUACUGACGGGCUUGAGUACAGACGAGGUUGGCGGAAUGGACUGA
rnacentral:rRNA from 1 species